rnacentral:rRNA from 2 species
UGCGACCCCAGGUCAGGCGGGAU